rnacentral:tRNA from 1 species
UAGGCCUUAGCUUAAUUAAAGUGUUUGAGUUGCAUUCAGAAGAUGUAUAGAGGAUUAUACAGGUCUU